AAGUAGAGAUACUUGUGUUAAAAACAACUCCAUUACAUUACAUCACAUUACAUUUGGCUGAGAAUUUUGUCCAAAGCGACCUACAUUAGUACACUCAACAUUUAUGAGGGGCCAUUCAAGGCUUCAGUAUCUUACCAAGGACACUUCUGCAUGCAGAGGGGGAAGAGACUUCAGAAAUAGUAAAAGUAUUGAUUCAAUAUCUACUGCAGUAAAAGUCUCCUCGUCACUUCCUCCAUCUUGUUUCUCCAGAUCACAUGUUGUCCUCUUCUCUGUGUGAGUCUCUCGUCUGUUCAGAUUGACCAUUUGUGUGUUUAUUAUUUUUCUUUAUGUUCAGUUCUUGUUGGAUGUGUGUGUGUGUGUUGUAUUAUAGAACAAUCACCCAGUCCUUCUCAUUUAGUUUAAUGAUUUGGAAUUUCCCCUGUGUUGCCUCUAAUACAUUUGAAGUUGAAUAAUCAAAGUUGCACCAGCACACAGUUCAGGUCACUUGUUUCUCAAAGCACCGUGUCCGGCCUGCUGGAGCUCACGAGACACUACAGACGUGACCGAACAUGAGCAGCAGCAGAAGAAGUGAUACGCGUCCAAACACGCUCACCCACUCCUCACUCAUCCUAAUAUGGUUAUAGCUGCGUUCAAGAAGUCAACCUGGCCUCGGACAACAUGUGAAACUCCGGGCCUCGAACAGGAGGAAGCUCACCAACUGAUGGUGGCGUCACGGUCAAAGACGGAUGAUAUUUCCGGGGGAUGCAGUGUGAUGUGUGUGCAGUGAACACACCUCGAUACUGCCCACUUCUGGUCAAACUAUAAAAUAGCAAGCUGAAGGAGUCUUGACGCUUCCUGGAUGAUCUCGUGUGAGUGACAUGAGGGGUCGACGCUUAAAGACUGAAAAAUCAAGAGAGAGCAUAGAGAAAAGACAGACCUGCUGGAAGGACCUGUGGGAAUGAAGUGAGCAGGAUUAACUUCCUGUUCUUCACCCAAACACCUCCAGCAUGUGGCUGAAGAUCCAUCCGGCCCACUACGCUCCACUCCAGCUACACUCGUCCUACUGGUUGUUAAACCUCCCCUCAGGCAGGUGGAGACACAACCAGGUACUCACAUGCCUUCAGCAACAAUAGAAACCAAGGGAGCUGCUACCAAUGCCUUAACAUCCAAAACAUCAAACGCGGUCCAAAGGACAGCUUCUGUCCAUGAAGAGGAACAGGGACAGAGAGGAACUUCUCCACUGACCAUGAGUGGUCAGAUGGAGCUAUGCAGCGACUGGGAGAUGUUGGUGGAAGUGGGCCAGUGGCUCCCAGUCUUCCUCGCGUCUUCCUGGUGGGAUUGACCCGAGGGGACAACCUUGAUGAAUCAGAGGAGAAGUCACACAUGGCGUUUGAGGCCGAGCACCGUGGCUGGAAAGCGAUGGUUUGUGCUGUGGAGGUCGGCUGCAGGAGUUCCUCUUCGAUCUUGAUCCCAACUCUGAAUAAU